GCCAAAAAUCUAGCCCAAUAAUCAUGAAUUUAGCUAAGAUAACUAAUUCUACUUAAUAAACCAUUCUAUUCUUUUAGUAAAGGAGAUUGAAAAAUUUUUUGGAGCUAUAACAAUAGUACCGCAAGGGAAUGAUGAAAUAUUUUAUGAAAACCUUAAGCAAUAAAAAGUAAUGAUUUCCCCAUGUACCUCUUGCAUCAUGGUUUAACUAGUUUAAUCAAGCAAAACGUAUUUUAGUUUGACCUCCCGAAACUAAGUGAGCUACUUCAAGGCAGCUGAAAGAGCUAACCCGUCUCUGUUGCAAAAGGGUGGGACGACCUUCAAGUAGAGGUGACAGACCUACCGAACUUAGUGAUAGCUGGUUACUCAAGAAAAGGAUCUAAGUCCAACCUGAAAUUUCUAUUUAGUUUGCCAAAACAGCCUUCUAAGUUUCAACGUAAUUCAAAUAAGGUACAGCCUAUUUGAAACAGGAUACAACCUAAGCCAAUGGAUAAUAUAAGCCUAUAAUAUAACCAAGUGGGCCUAAAAGCAGCCAUCUUUAAAAUUGCGUCAAAGCUUAACUAUUCACACGCCAAAUUACCUAAUUAUUACACGAUUCCUUUACCAGUACUGAGUAAUUCUAUAUUAUUAUAGAAAAUUUAAUGUUAAAACUAGUAACAAGAAGAAGACCUUCUCUGAAAUGCAAGUGUAAAUCAGAUAGGACAAACCACUGAUAUCUAACAUCCUUGAGCCCAAAGUAAUAACUCAUCAAGAAAACCUUACUCACACCAAUGUUAACCUAACACAAGAGCAUUCUAAGAAAGAUUUAAAGAAAAAGAAGGAACUCGGCAAAUAAUUAACCUCGCCUGUUUACCAAAAACAUCGCCUCUUGACCUAUAUAAGAGGUCCAGCCUGCCCAGUGACUCUGUUCAACGGCCGCGGUAUCCUAACCGUGCGAAGGUAGCGUAAUCACUUGUUCUCUAAUUGUGGACUAGUAUGAAUGGCACCACGAGGGUUAUACUGUCUCCUUUUUCUAAUCAGUGAAACUAAUCUCCCCGUGAAGAAGCGAGGAUACAGCUAUAAGACGAGAAGACCCUAUGGAGCUUAAAAUAUUGUGGCAGUUACUACACAAUACUUAAUUUCCUGAAUAUUUACUUUUAAGGUAAUAUGACUACAAGUUUUUGGUUGGGGUGACCACGGAGCAUAAAAUAACCUCCAUAUUGAAAGAAUAAUUCUAAGCCAAAACCUACAUGUUUAAGCAUCAGCACACUGACAUCCAUUGACCCAAUAUAAUUGAGCAACGAACCAAGUUACCCUAGGGAUAACAGCGCAAUCCACUUCAAGAGCCCCUAUCGACAAGUGGGUUUACGACCUCGAUGUUGGAUCAGGGUAUCCCAGUGGUGCAGCCGCUACUAAAGGUUCG
rnacentral:rRNA from 1 species